rnacentral:snRNA from 1 species
ACUGCAUUUCGGCUCUCUGAGCUAAGAUCGUAUGUAAUAUUUGCUCUUUGUAGUCUAACUUAUGCAGCAAUAUAUAAUUUAUGAUUAAUGAAAUUACCCUUAUUUUUUCAUCUGAGACGGAUGCUGUGAACUUGCCUAACCUUACCGUCAAGUCAACGCCGCUUUGCAUUAUCUCGAGGAGUAGCCCAUUAUUU